UCCAGCAUGGUGUAGCGGUAACAUCGGUGCCUUUCAGGCCGUCCAGGUGGCAUGUCACGUGGUCCAACUGAUAUCGCACUAGCCCGGGGUUCGACUCCCCGUACUGGAA